ACCAUAACGGCACUUCCACCGCCGCCGCCUCGUCCGCCGCCAUAAUUUCCGCCGCCAUUACCACCGCCGCCGCGUUCUCCGCCAUAGUUGCCGCCGCCAUUACCACCGCCACCGUGGUCGCCACCAUAGUUGCCACCGCCAUUACCACCGCCGCCAUAAUUGCCGCCACCAUUACCACCGCCACCGUGUCCGCCACCAUAGUUGCCGCCACCAUUUCCACCGCCUCCUUGGUAUCCUCCAUUUCCGCCUCCUCCGUCAACUUCCGCUGCUGAUUUUAUUAAUUUAGUCAAAAAAUACAUAUUAAUUAGCUACAUUAAUAAGUGACAAAAUAAUCUUUAGGACAUUAAACUACAUUACGUACUUGGGACUAACGUUACGACGACGACGACGACGACGAGAGAGGAAUGAGAGAGAGAGAGAGAGAGAGAGAGAAGGAAAUUCAUCCCUGUUUCAACGGUAGUAGAAGUCUGGGCGAGAUCUCUAGCUGCAGCUUCUGAUGAUAUGAAAAUGACAACCAUAGCUAAGAAAAGAACAAGAAAAACUAUUGCUUUUGAAGCCAUAUUUGAUGAUUUGAUGUGUUGUUACUUGUUUUUGAUGAGAAUACUGUGUAAUUGGCUUCACUAUUUAUAGAAGAAAACUAUACAAGUAGAGGUGUGAUAUUUGUAUAUAGAGCGCUGUGGAAGAGGCGUUAUUUUAAAUGAGUCCAAACACAACCUUAUCUUUCAUUAAUUAAUUAAUUGCAUAUAUCUCUUAUCCAUUCUUGAUCACAUACAUGCAGACCCACACCCAUACAUAUUAUAUAACAAAGCAAAUUCUGCAGAGAUAUUAAUACUAUGGGGACAUGCAUACACUUGUCUAUCAUGUGUGACCGUACUUCCUAUAAAAAAUAAAAUAAAAAAGGGGUGACUGUAGUAGUGUACUAACUAAUGGGAAAUCUGAAUUUUAUGCCGACCUAAAAUUACUCUUCCUUUAUGGUUACACUAAGGGACGGAAUCAAGAAAUUAUAGUUGGGGGUCCAAAAUAAUAAAUAUCUAAAAAUAUCAGAAAAUAAAAUAAAAUAAUAUUUAAACUCUAUAUGAUAAUAAUAAUGAAAUAAAAUUAUCAUCUGUUUUAUCCACGAAAAAUUCUACCCAAUUAGAAAUUAAAAUUAAUUUACUACAAAAGAACAUUUAUUCGUCUCCGCUAACCCUUCACACAAUGCUGCUAAAGUCGAUAUCUGACAUAAAUCUGGAUGCUUUAUCACAUCUAGAUAAUAAUGUUGCAACUAAAACUUCAAAAGGAGUCUUUCUCGUUAAGUGAAAUCCUCAGGAUAAUAUUUUUCAACAAGAGUGCAAAUAUCAUCUGCAUUAAACGACUUAUAUGAAUUACUAGGAUCUAAAGCGAGACUAAGAGUCAAGAGUUCCAUUGUUUGAUCACAAAAUAUGUUGUUCAACUCUUUCAAUUGAGUGUCUAUUGUGGUAUUGAAGAUAUCAAAAUGAAAAUGAUGCUCAAUAGUAAUAUUAAUAUCUCGAGGUUGAUGAAUCAAUUUUCCUCGGCCUCCUUUAUAAGCACUAUUCAUAUCAGGCAUCUCAAUAUUCAUGCUUUCACAAAAUGAUAUAACAUCACUUAGAAAAGCAUCACAUCCAUUAUCUCUCAAUUUUUGAAGCUAGAUUCAUAGCAUUUAAUAUAUCUUGAGACUUUUGCUGCAAAACUUGGCAAAGAACAUCAGUAAUUCCCAUCACUUCUUUCAUCAACAUCAGAAUAAAGACAAACUGAAAAGAUGUCAUGGUAGUAUAAGCAGAAUCGGCAUCACCACGUUGAGAAAAAUUGGCUCCAUCAACUAUAAUACUUUGAAGCACAAUACGAGGAGCAUUAAACAUUUUUAUUAAGCUACAUAUUGAAGAAAAAUGAGAACCCUAGCGAGUAUUACCUACCCGUUGUAAAGUACGAAUCUGGUUAGCUCAUUUACCGUUGUAAAACGUUCUUGAAGAUAUCAAACAAGAAAUUUCAGCCUGUUGUGCAUUAAUUAACUCACCAUUUCGCUUAGUAGAAGCACCGACAAUAUUGACAAUAGAAUUCAACUUCGUGACAAAUUGAUGCACAAGAAUCACUUCCCUAGAUGCUGUAACUAGAGCCAAUUGAAGUCGAUGAGCGAAACAAUGCACAUAAUAUGCAUAUGGACAAUCCUUCAAAAAUAAUGCUUGCAAUCCAUUCCAUUUACCACGCAUGUUGCUUGCCCCAUCAUAACCUUGGCCUCGCAGAUUGUCAACACUAAGUGCAUGAUGAGAAAGAAUAGUGGAUAACUCACACUUAAGAGUCAAUGCAGCAGUGUCUUUCACACUUACAAUAUCAAAAAAAUGUUCUUGAAGAACACCACCUUUGUCGACAAACCUCAAAACAAGAGCCAUUUGCUCUUUCUUUGAUUCAUCCCGUGCUUUGUCAACUAGAAUGCAAAAUUUUGAAUUACCAAUAUCUUCACGAAUUUUGGUUCGCACUUUUGUAGCAAUAAUAUGCAAUAUCUCCUUUUGAAUCAUUCCAGACGUGUAUUUCAUUAUGAGGAGCUUUUUCCAAAACUGUUUCAGACACUUUUUGAUUAUAACUUGCCAAAAGUUUCACCAUUUCACCAUUCCUUUUGAAUUGGUGGCCGCCGCCACCAAUUCAUUUCUUUUUAUAUUUAAUAUACAUUAGGAGUACCUGGAUCAUAUUUAUACCAUGAAUAAGAGGCAAUAUCACAAAAUAUGUCAAUAAUCCAUGACUCUCAUAAUGUAAACUGCUAGAAUCUCAUAAUUGGUCCUCGCUACCNNNNNNNNNNNNNNNNNNNNNNNNNNNNNNNNNNNNNNNNNNNNNNNNNNNNNNNNNNNNNNNNNNNNNNNNNNNNNNNNNNNNNNNNNNNNNNNNNNNNGAACGUCGAAUUUCAUCUUGUUAAUUAACACGAUAUUGCCAAAUUUAGAGACACUUUCCCGGAUCACGUUCCAAAAUUAAUUCUUGGUUAGAAUCAACUGCGGAAAUUUGCUCAAGUUUAUAAGUCCAUCGUUAUGAGCAGAAGGUUCGACUAUUUCUUGGUCAUCAACAUUGGAACUAUCAACAUCAGCUAUUUUUGGCACUUCAUGAUCACUCUCAAAAAAUGUUCCAAUUGUGGUUUUUUUUAAUCGAUUAGAUUGAUGUGUAGACAUCGCAAUAACAAACCUAGAAUUACAAUUAAAAAAAACGAGUCUUUGAAUUAUUAAGAUGGAGGUAAAAAAAACACGGUGAAAAAAACUCAAUAAACCCCAAAAAUCAAUGAAUACGAUUAUGAAAACGAUAUCCAAUAAAAAAAUUAUAUUAGUUGUAAAUAACCAAUUUAUGAUUAAGUGAACACCGAAAAUCUAGAUAUUCAAACAAACACAGAAAAAUAAAAAAAUCAAAUAUAACAAUAUUAUAUGAAAAUUAAGAAACAAUAACCAUUAAAAAAUCUCAUAAAUACAAGGCAAAUAAACAAUAUAAGAUGAGAUUAAAAAUUGUACAUGCAAGUUUUGGAGCAAAAGAAAAAGUUAGGAAGCCCCUCUUUUUAUAAGUUAUGUUGUUUUAUCCUUUAGUUUGAUGUGGAUAGGACUUAUGAGUUAUUGUCUUGUGAAGAGUUAGUGGGGGACCACAAUUAAUGUACUAGGGUAGAUAAUAGAGACGAAUAUUUUUUCAGUUUUAUUACCCUUGUUUAUAUAUUUUUUUACGUACCAAUCCAAAUAUAACGUAAUAAAGCAUAUUUCAUUAGCUAGAUUGAUAGAAUAUGGUUAAUUCCAACUGUAUUAAUUUACAGAGGUUAACUGUAAUUAUUUAAAUAAGAUCAUUGCUGCAAGAGAAAAAAAUUAUCCAUUCAGUUGAUUGUUAAAUGAACAUUAUUAUUGACGCAGAACGGAAGCACGAUAAAAGAAUUAGGGAAAAUUAGCAAAAACCCCCCAUCUAGAAAAUGUAAUUGAAGGAAAUUGUCUUUCCAAUAAUAAUUAGAGAAAAUGCCCUUAACUAAUAUGUCACCUAGGGGUGCAAGUUGGAACGGAAAUUCCGAUUUCCGCCGGUUCCGAUCCGAAAAUUUCCGAUUUUGGAACAACUUUUUUCAUUCCGAUUUCCGAAAUUCCGAUUUCCGAUUUUUUCCGAUUUUUUUGGAUUGGAAUUGGAAUUAUAUAAAAAAAAAUUGGAAUUUCCAAUUUCCGAUCCGAUUAUUUCCGAAAUUAAUUCCGAAAAAAAUCCGAUUUUUUUCCAAAAAAUACAUCUUUGAGUAAUAUAUAUAUAUAUAUAUAUAUAUAUAUAUAUAUAUAUAUAUAUAUAUAUAUAUAUAAUACUUAUUUUACAUUAUUUAGUUGUAUUUAUUCUUUAUGGGCCAUGUCACCUAAAAAAGCCCUAGCUUAUUUUAUGUAAAACCCUAGUUUUACGUUUAUUAUUUUUUGUGCAAAGUUAAAGAGUCAUGAUUUUUAUUUUUAGCAAAUUAUGAAAUUUUCAGCGAAGUUUCGAAAUUUUAAUACUUAUGUCAUUUCCGAAAAUUUUCCGAAAUUCCGAAAUUUCCGGGCCUUUUGGAAUUGGAAUGAAUUUUUAGAUUCCGAAAAUUUUGGAAUUGGAAUUGGAAUUGAUUUUGUACUUCCGCACUUUUUUGGACAUAUUCCGAAAAGGCUAAUUCCGAUCCGAUCCUUCCGACUUUCAGCCCUAAUGUCACCUNNNNNNNNNNNNNNNNNNNNNNNNNNNNNNNNNNNNNNNNNNNNNNNNNNNNNNNNNNNNNNNNNNNNNNNNNNNNNNNNNNNNNNNNNNNNNNNNNNNNNNNNNNNNNNNNNNNNNNNNNNNNNNNNNNNNNNNNNNNNNNNNNNNACUCUUGUUUAUUAUUUAUGUUCAUAAUCAAAACCCUAGCACAAUACGACUAUUUAAAGAGAAUAAAACCCUAGAAUCCUAAUCUAACUAGGAAAGAUAAUUACCUAUACUAAUAAAAUACUAAAUAUCUACUAAACACACGGCACUAUAAAACUACCUAUACUACUUUAAUUAAUUAAUAAUGAAAUACCUAACCUAAUCAAUAAUUAAAUAUAAAUUAAAUAUUAAUAAAUUAAAUAAUAUAUCCCAACAUAUAUUUCCAUCAAAAAAAAAGUGUAUGUAUAUUAGAGAGAAAGAAUAGUGUAUAACCACAAACUCCUCUGUAGAGAGAGAAAUGAAGAAAUUUGUAGAUAGAGGGAGUUUUAUGGAUGGUUGAAGAUGAAUAGAUAGUUGGGCAAUGAUCAGUCUACGAAUAAUUCAAUUUCUUUUCUUCUGCUACAAUAUUGAAUACCAAUAGAUAUAUUUCUCAAACAAGUCAACAAGAAUUCUCACAGAGAAAGAAUCGCUAAGCCCAUAUUCCGAAAGCCUCUCCCUCUUCCCACCACUGUCGCCGCCGUUGCUUCUUCUAGCCACCCGAAUCCGCUCAAUCCGGGUUUAGCGCAACCCCAAUCGCAGCAGCCCCCAGUCUACAACAUCAACAAUGAAAAAUAAUUGUAUAGUGUGUUUUUUGGGUGCUUUGGUUGGGUGGUGGUGCGGUUGUGAAUUACUUUAAUUGUAAUAAAAAACCGUCAGAAUAUCGAAGUGGGGUGGUGAUGGUGUGAUGUGUGGUGAAGAUGGAGAGCAAGUCUAGGGUUUUUUGGUAGACUGGGCGGAAGACAUGCGGUAGAGAAAUUCGCGCAGGAUGGACCCUUAAUUGACUAUGUGUUUUUUUCAGUAGCCGAUUAAGUUAAUUGACUAUCCUCUGGUAGUCGAUUAAAGUGUUAAUCGGCUGUUCUGGUAGUCGAUUAAGGUUAUUCUAUUUCAUUUUUUUAAUUCAUUUUUGGGUUUUUGUGUAUUGAUUCCGAUUUGUAUAAAUCAAUUACAAUUUAUGAAUAUUAUUUUUUAUGUAAAAAUAGUGUCGAUUUUCGUUUUUACAUAGUUGUGUUAUUUUUGUUUUUAUUUUUAGUAGUCAGUUUCUUAAUCGACUAUGCUUAUAUCUCAUAGUUAGGGGUGGGCAUUCGGGUCGGGUUAUUCGGGUUAUGACCCGACCCGGUCGGGUUCUACCCGGUCGGGUCGGGUAAUUUUUGAAAAAAACGGGUUUUGCCGGGUUCGGGUACCCGGUGUCUAAAAAUCGGGUCGGGUUCGGGUAUUGGUAUUUCUACCGGGUUACCCGAUCGGGUACCCGGUUAAUUUUUUUUUUAUUAAAACUAAAAAAAGGGGCAGACAAUCUUAUCUGAACUAGGACUAGAUUUCUUUCUUGUUCUCUUUGAUUCUUUGAUACUCGGAGAAUGACGGAAACAAGAGUAGUUUUUGCAAAAAACACUACUGAAAGCAGCCACAUGGAGGAGUUUCUGGUCGCCAGAUCUGGAGCUCGUUAGGUUAUGACAGCGGGCCGGCGGCGGCCAAUUUUUUAAAGUGAGGAGGAGCUGAGAGUCUUUGAGGAAGCCAUUUGCGGCGCGCCGACGGUGGUGAGACUUGAGAGAGAAACGAAGAAGAUUAUAACCUAUAGAGGAAAGUUUUGUGUAUAUGGGCGUGGUGGAGGAGAUUCUUUUCGGCUUGGAUCUCCUAAAAGAAAAAUUAAAGACUUCAUUUUUCAUGUUGUUAGGUAAUCAGAUUCAAUUUUCUUCAUGAAUUUCACAGAGAUAAAGUAGAGAGAGAAAGUGGUGUUUAUGAGAGAGAAAGUGGGUUGGUGGUUUAUGGAGAGGGGAGAAUGGCUGCAAAAUGGAAGUAAAAAAAGGCAGAAGCUUUCAUUUGUUUUACAAAAAAAAAAAUUAAAAAACAAAAUUGAAAACCCGACCCGACCCGAACCCGACCCGAAAAAAACCGGGUACCCGGCAACCGGGUACCCGGUUUUUUCGGGUCGGGUUCGGGUACUGUUAUUUUCCAAAAAAACCCGAAUAACCCGACCCGAAUAACCCGAAUAACCCGACCCGACCCGAAUGCCCACCCCUACUCAUAGUCGAUUAAUAUACUUGAUAGAAAAAAAAAUUAGAAGACAAAUAUUUUUUUUGAAAUUUUUAAAAAUUAAAAAAAUUACAAAAAUUAAAGAAAAUCAAAAAAAUCAAAAAGAUAAAGAGAUUAAAAAAAAAAGGCAGAUGAGGUGGCAGGGACAUAAUUGGUGAUAGUAUUGAUGGGUGUGGUAUGGGCAUAAUUGGAAAAUGGGUGGCUAAAAUUAAGAAGGGGCUUUUCUCAAAUGAUGCAAAAUAGUUUGAGCUUCUCCCCAUUAAAAUAAGUAUUGAAUGGGCCACAAAGAAUUAAUUGCAACGAAUUAAUUAUACAGAACAAAAUAACAUUCGGAAUCCACCGAGAACUUUGGAAUCCACCAGAAAAUAGAGAAAACUCUAAAUAUUUUAUUAAAAUUCGAAAAAUUCUUCCUAAAAUAAAGUCUUAAGACAACUAUUUAUACUAAUAAAACUGAAAAUCCUAAUUAAGCUAAGAAAAUACUAAAAAUCACCAAAAACGGCAAAAACGAGUUAGAGCCUGAUUCUAGUAGUUCUCGUAAUUUUGAGAACAACGCAAGUUACAGAAUCAUAAUCCAGUUUUUCUAUGAUUUGAUAUUAACUUUCUAAAACUUGCCACAAUAAAAACGAACUUUUAGUAUGUCUACACGACGUUGGAUUGCUGAAAUCUUACGUGAUUCACGAGUUUGCUCAUGAGUUUUGUUCAUUGUGUCGUUUCACUUAAGAUGGAGUUCGUUUCGUAGUCAAAUACAAUUGUAGUACGUAGAAAACCCUUAAUUUUCCAUAACUUCUUUGGAUAUUUCAACUAAUGUCCAUUAAUAACUUUUCUCCGAAUUAAAUAGUUAUUUUGCAAUUCUAAUCCAAUUUGAAGUUCCUCAUCAAUUAUAGAAAAAUCACAUUAAUUGCUUAAUUUUAUCAAAAUUAAUACAUGGAUUUUAACAACUUUAAUAAAUAUGAAAAACUCAAAAUAUGCGAAUUAACUAAAUAUAUAGUUAGUUGAUAAAGAGUUAGCACCAAUCAAACUCUAUUAAUUACAACUUUGUUUCAUAUUAAGUGGUGGUUAAGAAAAAUACACACUUAUUAAGAAGCGGUCUUAAGAUAUAAGUCACUGGUGAGAAACCGUAUUAGAACUAAAUGACAAGUCUAAUUAAAAUUUGCUUCACAUCCUUUAUUAAAUUUAUUCCAAAAAUGCCCCUCAACUCACAAAUUCAAAAUUACAACAGAUUAUAAAUAUACUAUGAUGAACUAUGGUAUUAUUUAACAUUUUUUAAUUUUCAUCUACCAUCUUUUUUAAUUUUUCAUGGAACUCGUUUUUUUUUCAUAUUUUUUCAUUAUAUAUAAAUCUAUUUUUCCCCUUUUCUACAUUAAAUUAAAAAUCAUGGUUUCUUUUUUUCUUUUUUUCUUUUUUUAUUUUCAUUUUUCGUAUUUUUUCAUUAUAUAAAAUCUAUUUUUUUUCUCCUUCUUUUCUAGAUCAAUUGAAAAUUGUGAUUUUUUUAUUUUUUUGCCGUAGACAUCUACAGAAACCCGUAGACACUGUAGUAAUCCUUAGUAACCCAUAGAUAUCUUGAAACCCUAACUUCUUUCAACCCUAGCCGUCAGACACCAUAGACACCCAUAGACACUCAUAGACAUCUGUAGACAUGUAAAUCGAAAAAUCUUAAAUUUCCCAACAAACCAUAAAUCCGAUCCGCCACUAUCACCACCACCACCACCACCGCCAUUACUCCCCUUCUCCAUCCCCCCACACCCAGACCCACCUUCACGAUUCAUCCCUGUUGGUUGCAAGCAAACAACGAGCCUGCCAUCACAGAGCCUCCCGAUGCAACCCCUACACCGAGCGUCACCAUAGCCGUCGUCGCCUACCAUAACCGCCGCCAUCUACCAUAACCACCACCAUGACCUUCAUCAUUUCACUAUAAUUGAAAAGAAAAAAAAAAGAGGGGGGGGGGGGGGGGGGGGGAAAAAUAAGAAAAAAAAAGAGUCACGUGAAUUUUAUUAGGUAUUGUAAGGGUAGAUUUGGGUUAAAUAAAAAUCAAAGGAUAUGUAUCAAUUUUUUUAUUUUAAAAUAAGGAUGUAGUAAAAAUAUUUUAUUUGAGUUUGUCACUCACAUCUAUUUAAGUUUGGUUUGAGGAGUCUGAGGCAUAUUACCUCUAUUAAGAAACCUAAUUAAUAGCCUAUUUUUUUAAUAGAAAGUCGCCAAAUUACCCUUUGCGGUACUAUUAAAUAACUCUUAGUAAUCAAUUAAUGAAUUUAAAUAAUCAAUGAUAAAGGGCAAAUUUAUUAAACAAAAUCAUUUUAUUUUUGAAAACCUAAAUGGACACUUAAUAGGGAAUUUUUUUUGGCCAAAAAGCCACUUAAUAUGAACGGGAGGUAAUAUAGUUGUCGCGAUCGAACUCAUUCCGGUUUAACCCAACUGGCCGAAAAUGAUGUUAAGCAACUUUAUGUCACGAUCUCAUCCUAAAUACAACUCAUAGUGCAUACAAGAACCUUCAGUUAAUGUACUUCGUUAAUGUAGACCUUUUUAAUUAAGUUAUAAGACCUCGUUUGGUUGACAAGAUAAGAUUACCUAAGAUAAGAUAACCAUCCCUAUAAAAUGUAGGUCUAUUAUAAAUUUAUAAGAUGUUUGUUAUCAAAUUUUGAAUUUUUUAUUUUCCCAUUAUUUAAUCUAUAUAAUAUAUAAAAGUUGAAUUCCACCUUCAAUUGCUUGACAUUUGGCAAUUUCAAUUGAUGACAUGUAUUUCAUUUCAUCACAUGUGGCAAAUUGAUUGGUGAAAAUAAAUCAUAAAAAAUAUGUCAUCAUUUCCAAAAUUAAAGGUAAUUAAAUAUAUUUUAUUAUUUUUUAAUAUAUUAUGUACUACCAUUUAUAAAAUCUAUAUAAAUAUCAAUUUUCUUAUAAACUAUAAAUAGAUUUGUUUUUUAAUUUAAUUUAAUAGUAAUUAAUCUAUAUAAUAUAUAAAAGUUGAAUUACACCCUUAAUUGCUUGACAUCUGGCAAUUUCAAUUGAUGAUAUGUAUUCAAUUUCAUCCUAUGUAGCAAAUUGAUUGGUGAAAAUAAAUCCUUAAAAAACAUGUCAUCAUUUCCAAAAGUAAAGGUAAUUAAAUAUAUUUUAUUAUUGUAUUAAUAUAUUUAUAUCCUACAAUUUAUAAAAUCUCUAAAUAUAUCAACUUUAUUGGAAACUAUAAAUGGAUUUAUUUUUGAAUUUAAUUUUAAUAGUAAUUAAUUUAAUUUAAAUUUAGUUAAAUUCAAUUUAGAGUCUUCCCUUAUUAUAGUUGCAUGAUUAGUGAUGUUAUGGAAAAUUUGUAUUUUAAUUAAUAAAUUUGGAUUUAUAUUAAAAAAAUACGCAAAAUAAAUUAUUUGAUAUUAAUAUAUUAUACAUUUUACAUGAACAUAACCAGAGAAUACGUUUUUUUUUGUACUAAUGUAAUAUUAUAUAUUAACAUUAUUUGUAUAAAAGAAAGAUACAUGUUCGAAUUUACUAUAUUGCGAAAAUUGGCACUAUUUUUUUUCCACCUAUGUGUGCAAUAAUAGUAUCCCAAUUAUUUACCAUAUUAAAAAUUAUACUACAUGAAUUUCAUGUUAUUGUUUUAACUUUUCUUUUUUCUUCACCGAAUCCAGUGACAAUAAAUUUUAUGACUGAUUUAAUUUUUUUAAUUAUAUACUAAUUAAAAUACAAACUUUAUCAUAAUUAUACUAAUAAAUUGAAGAACAUAAAUUAAGUUUAAUCAAUUGAUAAAAAAAAUAUUGAUUUAUAUAUUCCAAAAUAUAACAAUGCUAUUCUAACUUUAGUAUUAAAUUCGUUUAUUCACUUUAUUUAAUACCAAAAAUUAAGCAUAUCAAUUGUUUUGUUUAAAAUGUAUAAUGAUCCUAUAUAUUAUAUAUUGUAUUAACUAAUAAGUAUUUCUCUAUAACUUUGAUAAAUAUAAUUAAGUACAUAUCUAGAGCAACUCCAAUUCAAAAGUAUCAAGAUGGUUUUGCAAAUAUUUAUGUGAUAUUUAAUAUGCUCCAACCAUACGUAUAAAAUGGUUGUUAAUUAAGAAUCAUUAAAUUGAUUUAUAUAUCUAAUUGCCAUAUGUCAUUUUCUAAAUGGACACUGGGUUGGUUAAAUUCAUAACUCAUGUUUGAUAUUUUAUUCCGCAUGAAGUAUUUUUACAUUCCGAAAGAUGAAAUAUCAAACACAACCCUUAUUUCAUAACUCUAUUGGAAUUUAAAUUACUAUUUUUUAGUAUGAAAAUGGUGGUUAAAGGUUUUGAUAACGCAUUUAAUAACCCCACUCGAGGUGUUCUUACUUUAAAUAGUUUACAUUAACAAAUACAAUAUCAAUCGGCAAAUCAGUAGUUUCUACGAUCCAUUUUUAGUUCCAAACUCAAUAAAAUAUUUAUAUAUUAUAUAAAAGACUACAAUUAUAUAAGAAGUAAUUGCAUAAUUAUGUGUGUGUCUUUCUAAAUUGAGAAAGUUUGAUGCAAUAUUGUUGUUAUGGAUGGAAAAAGUUAUCAAAUUUCAAGUAUCAUAAUAUAUCAAUAAAACAUUAUCUAACAAAUAUCAAUUUAGUAGUUAUCAUUUCAUUUGAUAAGAAAAACACCCCCACAUAUUCAUAAUUACCAAAAUUCUCCUAACGUUUGUUUCCGUCUUACAUCAACCUCCUAACAGUAUGACUUUUCACGGAUUUUUUUUUAUUACUUGGAAUAUUCCCCAAAAAAUGUUGAUUCUACCCUACACACGCGACAUUUCGUUAUGGUACUUUUUAAAGACAAAAAUUACCCUAAGGGGGACUUUACACGAAAUCUUAAUUUAUUCUUAUUAAACAACACCUUCACGACUUUUUAAUAUUACUUUUACCUCCCCUAGGGAAAUUUUUUGUAUUUAAAAAGUAGGAUAAAAGAAAUGUCACGUCAACAAGGAUAGAAUCCUCAUUUUUUUGGGAUAUUACAUGGAAUAAAAAAUAUUCCGUAAAAAAUCACACCUUAAGGGGGUCGUGUAAGAUAUAAAUAAACAUAAGGGGAAUUUUGGUAAUUACCGAUAAAUAGGGGUGUUUUUCGUAAUUUAGCCAAAGUUCUGGAGGAUUUUCGUUAUUUAUCCUAUUAAAAACGUUUAUUGUUCUUUUUACGUCUUAACGUUUGCUUAUAUCCUUAUAAUAUUUAAAAAAAAAUUAAUAUCAGUUUGAUAAUCUAAUUAAAUAUUAAUUUAUAAUAUAUUUAAUAUGUGUUUUUAGAUGAUAUAAAGGGUGCGAGAUUGAAUAUAAUUAUUUUUUAUACAAAAUAAUAGAUCAUUGCAAAAAAACAUUGAUACAAAAUCAGCAUUAGGAUUGUGAUUAGUAUUAACAUUAGAAUUAGGAUUAUAAUUAAUAUUAUUUGAAUUAAUAGUAGCAUUAAAACUAGGAUUGUGAUUCGAAUUAAUAUAUUAUUAGAAUUAGUUUUAGGAUUAGCAUUAGGAUUAUGAUUAAUAUUAGUAUUAGAAUUACAAUUAAGAUUUUGAUUACGAUUAGUACUACAAUUAAAGACAUGUUCGUAUUAGGAUUAUGAUUAGCAUUAGGAUUAGGAUUAUGAUUAGAAUUAUAAUUAGAAUUAACAUUAGUAUUAGCAUUAGCAUUAUUAGUAUUAAAUUAUUAGGGUUAGGAUUAGAAUUAUGAUUAGUGUUAGGAUUAGGAUUAGAAUUAAGAUUAUAUAUGAUUAGGAUUAGAAUCAUGAUUAGUGUUAUAAAUAGGAUUAGGAGUACGAUAAGGAUUUGGGUAAUAUUAGAAUUACAAUUAUAAUUAGCAUUAGCAAUCCAAAUUAGCAUUAACAUAAAAAUUAGUAUUAGCAUUAGUACAUGUAAAUUAGCAUUAACAUUAACAAUACACUACAAGAAAAGUUGGUUUCUGCAACCAAAUUCUCAGUGACGAGAGUAAAAUGGUUGCUUAAAAUAUCCAUUUAACCACCAAUGUUAAUGUGGUCGCAAAAUGCAAAUUAUUUAAAUAUUUUUGCGACAAACCAGUAGUCGGUAGCUGUAAAUGGUCGCUAUAAUUUGAAGCGCCCCAGGUGGUACUGUAACGACCAAAGAUUGUAUCUAUAGCGACAUUAUAUCAUGGUCACUAAAAAUUAAUAUCUAUAGUGACCAAUUUAAUAGAAUAUGUUACGUUGUUGAUAAAAGACAACAAAGGAGUUAUUAGUAACCGACCAAUUUUGCUGCUAAUCGUAUCUCACUUGCAACCAUAUUUUACAUGGUUGCUCUAGAUAUACUUAUAGUUAUAAUAGUUGAAUGAACCGUGGCAACAAUUUCUUUUAAAAAUAUAUUGGAAAAAUAUUUAAUUAACCUUUUUGAGUUAAAUCAAUAAAAAAUUAAUGAUAAAAAAAAUAACUUAGAAAAAUUAUGAAUAAGAAGAUAUAAGUCUGAUAUAUUAAAUAAAUUAACUAUUAAUUAUCUUAUAAUUUGUAUUAGACAUAUAAGAAGUUUGAGACUCCGUAAACUUCCACCUUGAAUAAUUCCCAGCGAAAUCCCCAAAAAUCCCAUCUCUCACCCUCACGUCCUCAAAUCGGCGUCAUCUCAGGCGCUCACUUGCACAGUAAUUGGUGUUCUUGUGUCGCCUUUUGCGAUAUCGGUGGCCUUGUUGUAACCCAUUCACGUAUGAAUUUAUCAGGUUCUUUAAAAUCCCCAAUUCUCAAACUCGAGAUUUUGGAAGCACGCAAUACUUCUAUAUUUGUACCCAUUUCUCGAAUUUUUGGUGUCAAAUAUGACGUAUUGUAUAGAAUUUGUGGGCUGUGAGGAUAAUUCAAUAUUACUGUUGUUGGACUAAAAUCCAAUGGUGUAUUGAUGUUUUGUCAAAACAUUGGCAGAGCUUGCAGACCUAAUAAAUUUGUGUUAUUAUCUGACUUUAUUUUCCGAGAGGUCUUUUAUAUAAUCCUUUUUCUAGUUUUUGUAUUUAGUAUUUGAGGAAAUUUCUACUACAUAGCCGGCGGUUUCAGUGGGGUUCAACCAAUGCGAGGGUUGAUAAGGCCCAAUUGGUACGGUACACAAACAUGCAGCAAAUGGUACAAUUCUAGCCUUCGACCAUCUUAUCUACUUAAUUUACCGUAAUCUUCUCUUUACUUAAUCAUAUGUACUUUAUUUGUGUGCUUUGAUUAUUAAUUUGUUGUUUGCAACUUGAUUUUAAUUGCAUAUAAAACAGUUUGACUCUUUUCACUGGAGUUUGGGGCUAAGUUCACUUGCAGCAAACUCCAAAGGCAUAUCUCAAUUUAUUUGUCAUAUUUAUGCCUAUUUGCCUUUGAUUACUUUGAAUUUGUUAUACUCAACUCAUUGUAUAUCUUCGGUGAACGAACAAAACUGAUAAUUCGUCUGUCUUUGGACAUACAUGGUGUAAGUUCUAUUUUUUUUUUAAUCUAUUUUUUGUCAAUGAUAGCAUCUAAAUUUCUUCCUUUAUUAUUCAUUCAUCCUGUUUUUACUACAUGUCUGACUCAACACAAAAUUGAGAACUCAUUGAGAACUCAUCUUCUGAUAACAAUAUAGUAUCCUUUGCUUAUCCUUUGCUUAGGAUAUAUAUGUUAUAAAAUUGGUUGCCUAUGCCUAUGUUGGCUUUGUCAAAUUGAUUCAUGUAUAGACAGACGUAUUAUUUGUUUGAUUACUUAUGGCUUUUCUUUAUGUUCUCUGAGUUAUGCCAAAAUGAAAAGAAAGGGAGAAGAAGGAAAUAAGCCAUAGAAAAUGUUCACCUUUUCUAUUCUUCCUAGAGUUGUUGCUUAUUUUGAUAAACAGUCAGCUGUGAAUUCUUGUAUUAUCACCUGCAUUCUAUUGCUCAUUGUUGUGGCAGUUGUAUUUGGACAUUGGAGUUGCUAAUUUCAGAAGGAUUUUGUUACAUGUAUGCUUUUGGUAGAUGAUGGUUCAACAAUCAAUAUGUAAUUAUAUGGGCCUGAUUGUUGAGAGUACAAUAUGGUUGAAAUGUUAGUUUUUAGUUAUUUUGUAGAUUAGAUUUCACCUGACUGUUUAGGUAUACAGUUUUUGUGCUCGGAUACAUGUUUUGUACAAAGGUAUCGUCAUGCUUCGAAGUGUUUUGAAAUUUUUACUUUCGUAUAUCACAAAUUGUAUCCAAGCCAAACAAUCAUACAAAAUCUGAGUCGGAGCAUUCUGAACCACCUCCACUUUCUGAUGUGGAAACAAAUAUUCACAGUUUUGGGAUCCUAGGGGUAGAAAUAUUUUUUGGUAUACUUACUGUCUUACAAGAGCAGAGGUAUACAAGUAAACAAGGUAUCUAUUUACUAAAUAUUUCAUUUUACUUUUCGGACAUGUUUUGUUUAACCUAUCUGUGUUUCUCGAUUGGCAUGAAUCUGAAAUGUGUUGGCUGUGAUUAUAAUGACGAGUACUUGAAUCAUUGUCAGGUUAUUCAGUUGUUGAAUGAUGAGGGAACCACCAACCACUUGAUUUGUCCAACUUUGAACUCUUGAAGACGCCUCACCACAUUUCAUGCUUGACGUAAUCUAGAGUAGCAUUCGCCAAUCCAAGAUUUGUACUUGUUUGGGAUCCAAAGUUACAUAUGUUUGGAACUACAUAGAAUGAUUCGAUAUGUUAUGGUAUUUGAGUAUCAUUGAUUGUAUAUGAAACUGACAUUUGAUUGGUUGAUGAAGUGUAAAUUUGCAGAUGUGGUUUUAUUUAGUUUGCAAACAAUGCUUAAUUUUAUUGUAUAUAAGAUUAGCAAUUAAUUUAAAUUGUUUUCCAUAUAAAACAGGGCAAGGUUUUGCGAAGAUAACACAAUUAUUGCAUCCGCCGAUUUUAAUGCUAUAAAAGUAUUCUUAGAGAUGAAUAUACGGUCACUAAAAUAUGUUAAUUAUGACAAUUGUACAACCAAAUAAAAGCUAUUGCAACCAACUAUUUGGUUGCUUAAUGUACAUGAAUUACCAACCAAAAUAAUAUGGUCACUGUAUGUCUAGUUAUAGCGACCAUGCCAAGAUUAUAAUGACCAUAAAUUUUUCGAUUAGCGAGUCAAAAGAGGUCGCUAAUUGUUACGUGUUUAGCGACCAUUAUUGGAGAGUCGCUAAACACGCACGUUUCAGUGUCCAAUUAAAUACGUCGUCACUGAGUACUUUUAGUAGCUACCCUAUCGUGACCAUUUAUAUUUGGUCACUAUAUGUUUUAGCGACAUUUUUUUAACUUUCAGCGACCAUAGCAUAGUGUCGCUAAAACCAAAUUUUCUUGUAGUGAUAUUAACAUAUUAGUAUUAGUAAUAGAAUUAAUAUUUAUAUUAGUAUUAGUAUUAGUAUUACUAUUAGUAUUAGUAUUAUUAUCAGUAUUAGUAUUAGUAUUAGUAUUAGCAUUGGCAUUGGCAUUAUCAUUAGCAUUAGCAUUAACAUUAGCAUUAGCAUUAGUAGUAUUAGUAUUAGUAUUAGUAUUAGUAUUAGUAUUAGUAUUAGUAUUAGUAUUAGUAUUAGUAUUAGUAUUAGUAUUAGUAUUAGUAUUAGUAUUAUAUUAGUAUUAGCAUUAGAAUUAGCAUUAGCAUUAGUAUUAGUAUUAGUUUUAGUAUUAGUAUUAGUUUUAGUAUUAUAGUAUUAGUAUUAGUAUUAGUAUUAGUAUCAGUAUUAGUAUUAGUAUUCGUAUUAGUAUUAGUAUUAGUAUUAGUAUUAGUAUUAGUAGUAGUAUUAGUAUUAGUAUUAGUAUUAGUAUUAGUAUUAGUAUAAGUAUAAGUAUUAGUAUCAGUAUUAGUAUUAGUAUUAGUAUUAAUAUUAGUAUUAGUAUUAGUAUUAGUAUUAUUAAUAGUAUUAGUAUUAUUAAUAGUAUUAAUAUUAAUAUUAGUAUGAAUAUUAAUAUCAAUAUUAAUAAUAAUAUUAGUAUUAAUAUCAGUAUCAGUAUAAGUAUAUGUACCAGUAUCAGUAUCAAUAUUAGUAUCAAUAUCAGUAUUAGUAUCAGUAUAUCUAUCGGCAUCGGUAUUAGUUUCAAUAACAAUAUCAGUAUAAGUCUAAGUACCAGUAUCAGUAUUAGUAUCAAUAUCAGUAUCAGUAUCUAUAUCUGUAUCAAUAUCAUUAUCGGUAUUAGUAUGAGUAUUGUUAUUUUUAUUAGUAUUUUUAUUAGUAUUAUUAUCAAUAUAAGUAUUAGUAUGAGUAUCGGUAUCUGUAUAAUUAUUAGUAUCAAUAUCAGUAUCAACAUCAGUAUCAGUAUCGGUUUCGGUAUCAGUUUCGGUAUCAGUAUCAGUAUCAGUAUCAUUAUCACUAUUAGUAUUAUUAUUAGUAUUAGUAUUAAUAUUAGUUUUAGUAUUAAUAUUAGUAUUAGUAUUAUUACGAAUAUUAAUAUUAUUAUUAGUAUAAAUAUUAGUAUCAGUAUCAGUAUCAAUAUCAGUAUCAAUAUCAAUAUCAAUAUCAGUAUCAGUAUCAAUAUUACUAUCAGUAUUAGUAUUAGUAUUAGUAUUAGUAUUAUUAUUAGUAUUAGUAUUAGUAUUAGUAUUAAUAUUAGUAUUAGUAUUAGUAUUAGUAUUAGUAUUAGUAUUAGUAUUAGUAUUAAUAUUAGUAUUAAUAUUUGUAUUAGUAUGAGUAUGAGUAUUAGUAUUAGUAUCAGUAUCAGUUUCGGCAUCAGUUGCAGUAUCGGUAUCAGUAUCAAUAUCAGUAUUAGUAUUAGUAUUAGUAUUAGUAUUAAUAUUAGUAUUAUUAUUAGUAUUUGUAUUAGAAUGAGUAUGAGUAUUAGUAUUAGUAUCAGUAUCAGUUUCGGCAUCAGUUGCAGUAUCGGUAUCAGUAUCAGUAUCACUAUUAGUAUUAGUAUUAGUUUCAAUAUCAGUAUUAGCACGAGUAUCAGUAUUAGUAUUAGUAUCAGUACUAGUAUCGAUAUUAGUAUCAAUAUUGGAAUCAAUAUUGGUAUCCAUAUUGGUAUCGGCAUUGGUAUUAGUAUCAAUAAUGGCGUAAACAUCUUAUCUCUUUAUCAAUAUUUAUAAGUUGUAUUGUUGUUUGACUAAUGUGCAUCCUAAUUGAACGCCGUUAGAGAUAAACUUGCAGGUUUUUUGAAUAUUUAUUGUGUUAUUUUUCUGCUAUCGUGUUUGUUGUUAAGUUAGUUAUUUUGCAGAAGAUUGACAUGGUGUAGUAGAUUGCAUUCCACGGAAUAGAGUUAUACCAUAUGUUUUAAAUGAUUUCACUUAAUCUUCAUAUCGUGUUUUGCGCGCUUCGCGCAUAUGUUACAACUCUGAAUUAAGAGAUAAAGUUUAUGUUCUUUUUAUGUUCUUUUUUUUUCUAUUUCCUUCCAUUUUAUUUUACUUAAAUUUGUGUUGUUAUAAAGAGAUAGUCGUUUCCAUAUUAUUAUUAUUUUUUUCAUUUCAAAACUGAACUCCGUCCAACGCACGAGUGAAAUACUAGUAGUGUUUGAUGUUUGUUUUCCUUAAAAUCAACUCAAUUACUUAAAAAUGACCGAAUUACCCUUUUCUUAUUGUACAUAUUUUUUUCUUCUUCUUUUUAAUAUUUAUAUAUUUUUCGAAAACAAUUUUUUCUAUUUAUUUUUCGAUUUUGUUUUUCUUCAUUUUUUCGAUUAUUAUUUUAUUUUAUUUGGAUUUUUUUCGAAAAAAAAGUUUUUUAGAUGACCGGGAAUCACUCGACCGGCGGCAGCAGACUCACUCGGCGCUACUAUCGCGAAAUUGCUCAACGCAACCAAGUUACUCACUUGUAUAAAGAGGAAUCACUCACUCUGAAUGCAAUUAAUUUGCAAACUAUAUUUAAACUUAAAUAAUCAUGGUGAUUUUAUUCAUUGAUAGGGUUUAUAUAGGAGUUUUGGAACAUCCCUCCAAACAUAGGAAAUUACAAUUUUGAAUGACUUAUCAACUUUUACUUCUAGAAAAUAAAUAAACUUAGUUUUGACUCAUGAAAUAUAUAGAAUAUGACCUGAUUAAUUGGUAAUAAGAUGAAUAGUUCGAAAUUAGACUAAUAAAAGAAGUAGAACACUAAGAAAUACCUACAGACAAAAGACUUUCAAUUUUCCCGAUCGAGUGCAGUUGGUAGGCUCUAGAAAAAUCAAACAUAACUUUUUCCUCAGACCCUUGUUUCGUACACCGUUUCUUGUAUUGGAAACUAGACUUCCAUACAUUAUACAAAACUUAACUCUUCUAAAAUCGUAACAGAUAAUUUUUUCAAGUUGACUGAUUUGAAAAGACCAGUUAUGCAUCAUUCUCCCCUUCUUGAAAAGAACUCGUCCUGGAGUUCGAACCAAAACAUCGAUUUUUUCUUUUUAAUUUUUUCAAUGUUUGUAGGAUAGCAAGUUCACUGAAUUUUUGAGACAAUUGCGAUUUGGCGUACUUUUUAAACGAAGCAAAAUAUACUUAGUCCCCUUCUUGAAACACAAAAAAAAAAAAUGUAUGACUUCGGAUGUUUCUCGCACUUGAGUUCCAACAUGUCAAACAUCCAUGAAUCAGUCAUUAAAAUAUACUCUUUGUGUCCGGAGAGACAAUGCGUGUGAAAUGUAUUGUUAUGAAGUCAUACGUCAUCUUGUUGGACUGAUAUCUCCUCGUGAAUAACACGACUUUCCAUCUCCCAAUUUUCAUGAUGAUUCUCGUCUUCGGCCUCGUUUGCAAAUUCUCGGUUUAUGUGCUUCAUCAUAAUGAUCUUUCUGAUCAAAGUUAAUUUCAUCAAGAUAUGACCACUCAAAGAUAACCUUAGGUAAAGUUAUCCCAUCACGGUAUGCAACCGCAUUUAUUUUUUCGUCAAAAGUUGGAACACCUACUUGAAUAGUUUUAUUGCCUCAUUUAAGAGCCAUGGAAAAACGUUCCACCACGGUAUUGUUUUUAGUGAUAAAAGGGUUUUUAAAAUCACUUGUUGAACAUGAUGAAUCAUGACGUUCACAAUCGGCUUUGUUUACAUUAUUACGGAAAAUAUUUCCUCUACUUCAAGUACGAGAGUUCUUCCUUGUAGGAAGUUCAGCUAACAUUUGUUGUAUUGCGGCCAUUUCUGUGUGGAUAUUGACAUCUUUUAUGUUUCUUGGAUGACGGGGUGACAUGUUAUUUGAUCAGAGUAUGACUAAUAGUUGAUCGGAAAUCACUCAACCGGCGGCAACGGACUCACUCGACGUUACUAAUUGCGGAAUCAUUUGCAAUUCAGUUUAGACAAGGAAAUUGUAUUGGAAUGGUCAGGGAUCAUAGUUCAAUUAAUCUACAGAUCGUUGAUGAUGCUAAUUACUUAGAUCACUUGGGAUAGUGUGGUAAAUGAGUUGGAAGAGCAAAGCGGAUCAGUAGCUCGCCAAUUCGAUGGUCCGAGGUCCCUGCGAAAUAAACCACGAGAACUAAGCCGGGGGUUGAUUCGGGGAAAACCCCUCCGACGCUUAAAUCAGAUGUACGGAUUGUGGAGAUGGUAGAAAGAAUAUGUGCUCUAGAAUACUUGUGAAUAAUAUAACGUACCUUAACAAAAUGAGUAAAACCUCUAUUUAUAUGUCGUUUAUUGGGUUGGAUUUACUUUGUUGGGCCCAAGCUUUAUUUUGAAGGUGUUUGGGCUUUCGUAUAGCGGGUCGAAUUAUUAGAUAAAUGGUGGGCCCAUUGGGUCGGCCCAAUUAGGUAUAUCAUUAACCCCCCCAACUCUCGAGUCGAGAUGGGAGACUUGUCGAAGGGGUUCCGGAUCGUGUCGAGAGUUAAAUGUGAUGUGCCUUGACUAGUUUCCAUUGCCAUUGAAUUGAUUCAUAAUUAAUUAAAAAAUUUAUAAUUGUAUUUAUUUGGCAUCAGGAUAUAUAUUUAAGGGUUUUUAAUAAUACACCAGGUCCAAAUAAAUAGAAUCCUUUUGCGGCGGAGAGAAUUAAAUUCCUACUCUUGUGGGGAAUAUGUAUGGGUAAGUAUUUUUAAUUUUUGGGUCUUCCUUAAUGUUCUUGCUUCUAUUUUUUUGUGAUAAAGUUGAAGUUUUUAUUUUUUGAGUGUUUCUUCGAAGAAAAAUAUUUAUCAUGUCGAACCCAGGUAAGUCGAAAUCUUUGUGAAUUUAAAUUCGAGAUCCGGUUAAAGGGGUCGAGAAAAAUUUUGGUACUGUGGGUAUGGAACGCGAGAAGCUUGUAGUAUCGGGUACGGAAAUCGGAUCCUCGUCGGCUAGUGCACGGAUCGAAGGGAGAGGAGAGGUAGUUGGUGUGGGAGAUGGCUCAGUUGCAGCCGUUGGGGAGGAGCGAGCCGCCGCUGUGCACGGCUUGUCUCUAGGCUCGUCUUUCGAUGUGAGGCGCGGAGAGAGAGGUGAGCCGGCUUUCGCACCGUCCGAGGGGAGGAACGGCUCAAACGGCGCGGCCGGGGUGCUGAAGAGAGGACGCGCGCGCGUCGGAUGACGUGUUUGGUGGACGCGCACGCGCGUCGGGCACGGUUCUCGGUGAACACGCACGCGCGUCACGCACGAAAAACGAGAAGAACUUACAUGGAAUGGCAGUCUUUUAAACUUGGUCAUCGAACAAACAUGACAAAGUGAAGAAUUCAUUAAAGAAGGUUAAAAAAUAUGUUCUUUUAAAAUAGCUACUUUGGAAAAAAGGAACAUGCCCAAGUCUAUUAUGCCAGGUCUGAGAAGAGAUAGAGACUUUAUUACACACAAUUUCAGUAGAAGAACAAGAAUAAAACAGGCUCCAACACAUAUAAGUCUUGCAACCUUUUACCUAUACCAAUAUAUCACUUGCAUCAGCUUGUCCUAAAUCACAAAUGAUUGAAACCCAAAAGUGACAAAUUCAUGAGGUUUAGAUAAAAGAGCACUAACAGAAAGUAAAUUGAAUUGAAACUCUGGAACAUAAAAAAAUAUUAUGCAAGAAAAGAGACGGAUCUAACUGAAUAUCACCUAUAAAAGCCACAUGCAAAGAUGACUUAUCUGGCCAAAUAACUUAGAAGAAGGGGUAAGAUGCAAAAAUAGAGACCUAUUAUUGCAUGUGUAAAGCACCUGAAUCAACAACCAAUGAAAACGCAUAACCAUGGGAUUCAUUAUUGCAUUAGCAUAAAUGGUACCUAUCACACAGGAAAUGUGAGCAUCAACCUGUUAGAAUCCCUUGGAUUCUAAUUAUAAGAGAAUUAAAUAUAACUUGUGUCACAAGUUUGCAUAUACCGUGAGCUAAAGAAGGGAAGAGUCCUUGUAGCUUUUAAUUCUUUUAAUUUGUCAUUAAUUGAUUUAUAAUAGGAAUUAUUCUUCUAAAGAGUUUCCUUGUGUUGAAAAUAUUAUUUCCUACGUGAUUAAAAGUUUCCUAACCCUAAUGGACUCUAAUUCCUUGUAGGAUUCUUAUCACCUAUAGAAGUAUAAAUACAACAACACGGCGCCUCAGAUCUCACGUCUUCUUGGAGAGAAAAAAUUACACAGGAUAUUUUCUUUACUCUCGUUUUUAUUGACGUCUUUUUGGAGAGAAAAAGAUUUCUCUUUUCCUUGUUGCUGUUGCGUGCUUGUUGCGUGCUUUUUUUGAGAGAAAAAAUAUUUCUCCCUUCUUUGUUCCUCCUACAGCUUUUUCAUCGAGAGAAGUUCAAGAGAAAAUAUUUUUUUCUCUCGUUUUUAUUGCUGCAUUGUGAUACGUGAUUUCCAUAUAAAAUAUAUCGGCUUCAAGGUUUUGUGGCGAAGACACCAAGAUUCAAGGAUUAUCACAAGUUUGCUUCUUCUAUACAAAAAGAAGAUCGGUUCUUCGGGAGAGGGGCUUAAACAGAUCUCGGGAGGAGAUCGAUCCGCCGACUGAGGGAUUCAGCAUUGAAGGGAGUUGAACCGUGCGGAGCAAAGGACGUGCUGCAAAUUGAAGAUUUAUAAUUCAGCGUAGUAUACAAGAACGGCGUCAACGAAGAGGGAGUCUUUGUAUUUUGAUUAAGUCCUACUAUUGUAUUCGUAAAACUAAAAAUUAGUAAAUUUCAUUUGCAGGUCCCCGUGGAUGUAGGGUACAAUUGUAUCCGAACCACAUUAAAUUUGUGUCUCAUUUAUUUCUUUUUUUACGAACUGUUUUACGAACUGUUGCAGCACUUCACGCAACAGUAACGAAAAACUGAAUCUGACACAAAUAAUUAAUAUCUGCACGAAACAAUUUCUAACAAUUGGCAUCAAGAGCCUGUCACUAGAUACACUUAGUGAGAUCUUGGGAUUUAAUUUUUUAUUUUUUUGUGCAGAUAUGCUUUAUCGUGAAGGAGCGUCUACAGUACGACCACCUCUCUUGGAUGGAUCAAAUUACUCGUUCUGGAAAUCGAAGAUGAAGAUGUUCAUCAAGUCCGUUGAUGAACGAGCUUGGCGUGCAAUCGUAACUGGUAGAACCCCGCCCAUGGCUAUAGGAACGGAUGGUAUGCAUACGGUAAAACCAGAAGAAGCAUGGACUAAUGAAGAGAUAUUAUUUGCCAAAAAGAGAAAAAACUUUUCAUUCCCGUUUUCAUUCUUGAUUUAAUACUAAAAGGGUUUAUUUAGGUUAAUUUCAUUGGUAGGGUUUUUUGUGAACAUUCAUUACUUAAAUAUUUUAAUGAAUAAAAUUUAAAUUGACAUUUUACCUUUUCGUUACACCAUGAACAAAUAUCGUAUACAAACUAGCAAUUUAUAUCGAUCCCGUGUACGUCGUAUGGUUCAUUUGUUUUAGGUCAGAAGAAUCACAAGAAUUUAAUUGACUAAAGUUAGAGAAAUUAUUGUUAAAAGAAAAAUAAUUAAUUAGUAUUUUUACGUGAAAUUCGAAUUUUCAGAGAAACAUAUACCUCCAAUAAAAUAGUGUAGAAGAAUGUGGAAUAAGAGUAGAAAUAUGCUCAAAUUCAUUUAUGGUUUGAAGAUAAUUAAAUUAUCUUCAUUUUUUAAUAGAAUGUAAAAGAAAAAUUAUAUUAAAUGAUGAGGUGUUACAUUAGAGAUCCUUAAGAUGACACUCUAAUUUCAGAGUGUCAGCUUAAGAGUCUCUAAAAUCACAAGUGUCACCUCACUGCUACAUCAUUUGGAGAUUUUUCUUCAGAUCUGCAUUGGAGAUAAUUUUGUAACAAAAAUCUCAAUAUAUCCCAUAUGGCACUCUAAGUAGUAGAGAUUGAGUUUAGCAUUGAAGAUGCUCGAACAGUAGUUUUCGAAAAGCAUGCAACAUAGUCAAUCAUGUACUUUUUUAAGUGCAAUGUUGUCUCACGAGAUCCUUGUGCUUGAUCUUCAUGCUUCACUUGAAUCCCAUCAUGAACUCUAGCUUGCUAUAUCUGUAGACGGCUAAAAUUAAUAAAUUGGUAAAUUAGAUUGGUCAAUUAAAUUGUGCCUAAUUUAAUUUAUCGUUUAUCUUACAAGACAAUUCAUGUAGAUAAACAUCAAUUAAUGAUUAGCCAAUAUGAUUAUUUCUUCUCUUUCAAGUUAUAAGAGAUAAAUAUCAAUUUAAUAAAGGCCAAUAAAAUCGCGUCACGUCAUCAAGAAGGCUUUAUGUAGGACUCUUAUUCUACCACUAUUAAUAGGGACCCUCCCUACACAAUUCAAAGACACAACUCAAGAAGGAGAAAAAUCAUAGGCGAAAAUUCUCUCUACAACAUCUCAAGCGUUCUUCAUCAAAUCGAGAGCGUCUAUCAACAAAUCAAGAUCGAAGGAAGAUUGAAGGGACAAAUCCAUCAAGAACUCCAAGAUCUUCAAGUCAAAGCUCGUCAAAGUUCAGCGUUCGAUCCGAGAUUCAAGCCGCAAGACCCUCGGAAAACUUUAUUCAAGUUCAAAAUCAAAUCCGGAGAAGAUCAAGUCAACGACCCGACUCCGAAAUUCAAAGUCAACAUAUAUUAUUUUUGAGAGAAGAAUCGUAUGAUUAAAUUAGAGUUUGUAACCCGCUAUAUCUAUUUUAAUUCAAUAAAAUUAUCUUUGUGCAAGUCUUUCUUGUUUGUUUAAAUUGCAGAUAAGAAUUUGUUGCUACAAAUUGCACGCCCGGUGGGACAUCUCUUCUCUCUAUCAAAGAUCCUCGAAGUGUUGUAGUGACUGCUCUACGUUCGCAAUGAAGAUUGCUACUUCGGAUUCAUCAAGUGUGGGUGUAGUUACAAGGAGUACGGCUAAAAAGCUGCAAGCAUCCUCCGAGACUAGCAUGACGCUCCAAACCAUGGAGAAAAGCUUACCACCUCUUGUCAACACAAGUGCAGACAUGGACGGUUCAAAACGAGGGACUUCACUGCCCACGCCUCGUUCAGCAUCAAGCUACUCAAAGGUGGCAUCUGUCAUAACAACAAACGCUACAACUAUGGAAGAGCAAAUUGCAACUUUAACAAAGGCAAUUAUGGGACUCGCAAAGCAUGUUCAAUAUCGAGAUUCUCAAAUUGCCAAGUUGAUCAACAAGAUGCACAAAGACGAUACUAGUCAAGCUGUGGAGAAUCAGAUACAGGCUCAAGACGAAGUCGAGACAUCCAAAAAGCAACAGCCAGUUGAAAACGAGAAGGCUCCAGCUCAAGAACUUCAAGUUUCUUCCGAAGGGCUGAUUCAUGUAGAUCAAGUGAUGACACUGAUCAGUGGAACUAUCAAAGACAAGUUGGAAGGAAGCUCGAAGUCGCCAUCAACCUAUGUCAAGCCAUACACACAAAGGAUUGGUGAUCUAAAGAUGGCAAUGGGCUAUAUACAUCCACAGUUUCAAUAAUUUGACGGCAAAGGAAACCCCAAGCAACAUGUGGCACACUUCGUUGACAAUUGCAAUGAUGCCGGAACGUACGGAGAUCACCUCGUCAAGCAAUUCGUCCGAUCGCUCAAAGAUAAUGCGUUUUAUCGGUACAUUGAUUUUGGGGCAAACUCUAUUGAUAGUUGGAAGCACUUAGAGGAAGAAUUUUUUAACCACUUUUACAGCACUCGAAGAACAACCAGCAUGAUUGAGCUCACCAAUUCCCACAAAUGGAAGAAGGAACCUGUCAUCGACUACAUCAGCCGUUGGAGAAAUUUGAGUCUUAAUUGCAAGGAUCGACUGCCUGAGACAUCAGCUAUUGAACUGUGCAUCCAAGGAAUGCAAUGGAGACUCCGAUAUAGCCUUCAAGGAAUUCAACCUAAAAGUUUUGAAAAGUUGGUUACUCGAGCACAUGAUAUGGAAUUGAGCAUAAUUGCAAAUGAAGUUGAACAACCUUCAAUCCAAAAGUCGUACCAGCUCAAUGAAGAACAUGUCAAAGAAGAACACUUCAAAGAAGAACAAGAAGAUCAUGAGGAUGGGGGCAAGUCUUUUGAAGAAAAAACACCCUAUGCAUUAUGACAAGUCAAAUCAAAUCAAACACUCCUUGACACGAGUUUAAAAUGUCAACAAGUACAUAUCAAAUUCAAGUUCAAGUAAGCACUCCUUGACACUGUUAGAGUAGGUGACUGAAGAGCCAACUAAUUGUUGUGUGUUCUCACGCUACUCGUAAAUAAUCUAUUUCGUAUUAAUGAUAAAAACCCCCUUUGGCAUUCUAUAUCUUUGUCCCUUGCAUACGCAUAAUAUAGUCCUUACAGUUAUCUAAAUCUAUAAAUAGAUCUAGUAGAAUAGUGAGAUUAUUUAUUUAAGUAUAGUAACUAUUAAACAUAGUUCCUAGUCAACGGGUUACACCACUAAUGAGGAUAUCGGUCUUUCCCAUUUGAGACUAGCACUUAGUGUAUGUGUACUGCGUCUCAUCAGUCAACGGUGUUGUGACAUCGGCAUAAAUAAGUGGAUGCUCAUAACUUGAUGAGUUCAAUGAACUCCCUCAAUCUAGAGAUCUCUAAGUGGUUCCCAAUAAUCGAGUAGAGGUUUCUAUGAUAUAGUUGUACACCAUUAAUCCUUAAGACUCAAACAUCACCAUGAUUUCACUAGAGGACCAGCUGUAUCGGGACCUGUCCCUGAGUUCCACCGAGGACCGCCCCAAGGGCCAAUAUUCGUGCAGCCCAAAAUCUAGUGGGAGGUUUGUGCAUUGUAGUAGGGGAUUCGAUCUCUUGAUCAGUCAUGGAUAUCAUCUGUGUUCUUGCGAUUUAUAAUCCAUGAAGUUUGUGGCCACAGCUGAAAGUGUCGUGAUUAGAGAAAUGUGUUUCUCUAAGUCAAACACGAACGGAUUAUAUAAUCAAGAACGUCCAUACGGUUAUUGAACAUAUAAAGAGGUCUCGAUGAACCAAUGCCUCUAGUUCAAUCGGGAUAUAUUUAUCGAAGGGAUCGUAUUGUACGUUAACUAUAUCACACGGUUCUUGCAUGCACUUCAUUUGUAUAUAGGGAAUCAUGACGCGUAGUUGUUAGACGCCAAUCUUGAUUCGUUGGGUAGUUAAGUUAAAACUAUCUUCAACUUAAUUAUAACUCUAGGGAUGAGUUUAAACCACAAUGGGUUGUGGGCCCACGACUAGCUUACACCAUACCCAUCGAGGGUCACACUGCUCGUGUAAUUGAGAUCCUUAAUGCAACGAGCUAAGAUUAAUUAGUUAAUCUUAGUGUGAUUGGAAGUCAAUAUGAUUGAUUCCAACAUUUGUAAUUGUUAAUUACGGAUGACAAUAAGUAGAGGAAAAGAAUCUGAUGAAAAUUUAGUGAACUUUCUAUAUUGGAAAGUUUCCCGAUUUGGCAAGUCCUAAAUUAGGGUUUCCAAUUUUGAAAAUUGGUAAAUUUUAAAGUGGUAUUCGUAUCGACGCGAAUUUGUGCUCGUUGUCAAAAUAUAAUUGUUAUAUUUUUGUAGCAUUCGUUUGUUAGAAACGAGCCGAGAAAGAGAGUGGACAUAAGCUGUUGGGCCUAGCCCAACUUAAGGCAUGUUAGGGUUUUCACAAGGAGCAUAUAAAUGUUGGGUUUCGGGCACGCAUACGCAGCGGAAAACAAAAAUUUAUGCGAUUUAAACGACUUUAAAAACACAUAAGAACAUGCCCGAUAAAUUAAAUUCAAUUAAUUGCGUACCUUUGCGCUUCCAGCGAAAUUAAAACAACAUACAUGCUAAUAAAUUUAACCGAAUUUAAAUCAAUUAACAUGCUCGCGUUUUAAACCAAAUAACAUGCUCGUAACGAUUUAAACGAUUACACAUAAUCACAUAAAAUCAUACAAACACAAGCAUGAAAUCAUAGUUUAAACUAAACCCUAAACGAAACUAGGGUUUCGUAUAUUUACCUCUUGACGCGUGAGGUAUGAGCGAUUAGCACUUCGUGAUUACUACGGAAACCAAUCCGUAGAAUCGGGGCAGCAGCGGUGCGUGGGCAGCAGCGGCGCGUGAGGUCACGGCGGCGCGUGUGGUGUACGCGCGGCUUCGGGGCGGCGCGUGGGGCAGCGUGCGGCUUCGGCUCGUGCGUUGCUCCUCGAUUCUUCGAUCUACAGUCUUCCUCCUCUCGGAUUUCACCUCGUAUACUUCGAUCUACUAAAUCGUGGCACUAGACACGAAGUAGUUAGAAUAAAACGGAAAGAAAAUAAAAGGAGAAAGAAUACCGAACAAGAACCGCCGACGAACGGCCGGUUCCGGCGACGGAGCGGCGACGGUGGUGCGGUGGUGGCCGCGCGGGAGAGGGGGCGAGAGAGAGAGGGUCGGCCGCUUAGGGUUAGGGUUUGUGUUGUUUGUGCAAGGGCUAUAAAUCAUGUAUUUAUAGUCCCUUGUAUAAAACCCUAGCGGGCUUAAGUUGGACUGGGCCCAACUGCUUAAGCUCGUUAGUUUCUUUACUCGCUCGUAUCUCUCAAUUCAAUGAUCGAAAAAUUGUAACGAUUACAUUUUAGAGUCAUUAUAAUUUCCUCGUCAUUACGAGUGCCAUCUCUUAUUUUCCAACUUUCCAAAAGUGGAAACCCUAAUUCAGUGCACUUUCUAAAUUUGGAAACUUCCCGAUUUAGAAAGUCCACUAAGAUGUUCGCCUAUUCUUUUCCUUUUCUUAUUCUCAUUCAUAAUUCCAAAUUACGAAUGUUGGACUCAAUCAUAUUGACUUCCAAUCAUGCAAAGAUAAACUAUUUUAUCUCUGACCGUUUAUUCAAAGAUCUCAUGUGCACGAGCAGUGUGACCCUCGAUGGUUCAGGUGUAAGCUAGCCGUGGGCCCACAACCCUUUGUGGUCAAAACUCGUCCCCUUCGAGUUACGAUUAAGAUGAAGCUCGUUUCACCUUAAUCACCCAACGAAUCAAGAUUAGCGUCUAGCAACUACGCGUCAUGAUUCCCUAGAUACAAAUGAAGUGCCUGCAAGAACCUUCAGAUAUAGUUAACGUACAGUACGGUCCCUUCGAUACAUAUGUCCCGAUCGAACUAGAGGCAUUGGUUCAUCGAGACCUCUCUAUAUGUUCGAUGACGGUGCGAUCGUUCUAAGUGUUGUAAUCCUUACGUGCAUGACUUAGAGAAUCAAAUUCUCUAAUCAUCACUUAGUCAGCUCUGGCCAGAGACUUAGAAUGAUUACAAACUUUCAGAACACACAGGACAUCCAAGACUAUUCUAGCGAUCGAAUCCCCGACUACAAUGCACAGACCUCCCACUAGAUUUCGGACUGCACGAACACUGGCCCUUGGGAUGGUCCUCGGUGGAACUCAGGGACAGGUCACGAUACAGCUGGUCCUCUAGUGAAGUCACGGUGAUGUCUAGGUCAUAAGGACUAAUGGUGUACAACUAUACCAUAGAUAUCUCUACUCGAUUAUUGGGAACCACUUAGAGAUUUCUAGGGUGAGGGAGUUCAGUGAACUCGUCAACUUACGAGCACCCACUUGUGCAUGCCGAUAUCACAAUACCGUUUACUGAUGAGAUGCAGUACACAUACACUAAGUGCUAGUCUUAAUGGGAAAGGCCGAUAUCCUCAUUAGUGGCGUAACCCUUCGACUAGGAACACGUUUAACAGUUAUAAUACUUAAGUAAAUAUCUCACGAUCCUAACGAUCAAAUUACUAGUACUUGUAAUAACUGUAAGGACUAUAUCUAUGCUUGUGACAAAGGGACAAAGAUAUAGAAUGCCAAUGUGUUUUAUCAUUAAUACGAAUAAAGGUUCGUUUAUUACAAUAACAAAUACGAAAGACCACAGCCACAAGUUGGCUUGUUGGUCACCUACUCUAACAAUCUCCCACUUGACCUAGAGCCAACUACCCAUAAAUCGCAAUCCCAUCGACUCUCGAUGUUUCUCAUGGACCGAUCUCGGUAAAGGCUUCGUGAAGGGGUCUGCAACGUUCUCUUCCGAGGUGACUCGUUCUACCUUAACUUCACCUCUAUCAAUGAUCUCUCGGAUCACGUGAUACUUCCUCAGAAUAUGCUUUGACUUCUGAUGAGAUCGUGGCUCCUUAGCUUGCGCCACGGCUCCGGUGUUAUCACAGUACAACGGUACUGGAUCACUAGCAUCAGGAAUUACACCCAACUCUUGGAUGAAUUUCCUUAUCCAAGUCCCUUCUUUUGCAGCUUCGGACGCUGCAAUGUAUUCCGCUUCGGUAGUGGAAUCGGCCGUCGUGCUUUGCUUGGAACUCUUCCAACACACGGCACCACCAUUAAGCGUGAAUAUAAAUCCAGAAUUCGACUUCGAGUCGUCCACAUCCGAUUGAAAACUAGAGUCAGUGAAACCCUCUAAUUUCAACUCGGCACCCCCAUAGACCAAAAAUAUAUCCUUAGUUCUUCGCAAGUACUUGAGGAUAUCUUUCACGGCUUUCCAGUGAGCCGGGCCGGGGUUAGACUGAUAUCUGCUUGUGACACUCACAGCAUACGCAAUAUCGGGUCUAGUACAUAGCAUGCCAUACAUUAUGCUUCCUAUGGCAGAAGCAUAGGGCGUUCUUUUCAUCUCCUCGAUUUCACUAGGUGUUUGGGGACACAUAGAUUUCGAGAGACGAACCCCAUGGGACAUUGGCAAGAAUCCCUUCUUGGAUUCUUCCAUGCUAAACCGUUUCAUAACGGUGUCUAUGUACAGGCUUUGGGAUAAGCCAAGCAUCUUUCUUGCUCUAUCUCUAUAGAUGCGUAUUCCCAAUACGUAAGAUGCUUCUCCCAAAUCCUUCAUUGAGAAACGUGUGGACAACCAUGCUUUCGUUUGCUGUAACAUUCCUACGUCAUUCCCAAUGAGUAGAAUGUCAUCAACGUAAAGCACUAGAAAUAUUACUGCCCUCCCACUAACCUUCUUGUAUACACAAGGUUCCUCCGGAUUCUUCUCAAAAUCAAACUCUUUGAUAGUUGAGUCGAACCUAAUGUUCCAACUACGGGAUGCUUGUUUCAAUCCAUAAAUGGAUCGCUGGAGCUUGCAAACCUUUUGCUCACUUCCAGAAGAUAUGAAGCCUUCCGGCUGCGCCAUGUAAAUUUCUUCCUCAAUAUCUCCAUUAAGGAAAGCGGUCUUCACAUCCAUUUGCCAUAUCUCGUAGUCGUACCACGCAGCUAUGGCCAGCAAAAUCCUAAUGGACUUCAGCAUCGCGACUGGCGAAAAGGUUUCCUCAUAGUCAACGCCUUGCCUUUGAGUGUAUCCUUUUGCUACCAAUCUAGCUUUAUAGGUCGAUACCUUUCCAUCAACUCCAAUUUUCUUCUUAUAGAUCCACUUACAGCCUAUAGGAACAAUUCCCUUAGGUGGAUCUACCAAGGUCCACACCUUGUUGGAGUACAUGGAGUCCAUUUCGGAUUUCAUGGCAGUUAGCCAAUGUCCCAUGUCCGCAUCCGAUACGGCCUCGUUGUAUGUUCUUGGAUCUCGUCCAAGAUCAACAUGAUCUUCAUCAUUUCGAGGAGGAAUAACCUAUCCGGCAUUUUCCGAACUCUUUCGGAUCUACGUACCGUAGGUUCAGGAGGUAUAUUAGUGGUUUGUUGUAUUGGUCCGAUUACUUGUUCUUGCGUUUGAACUUCACUUUGUGGUUCUUGAACUACUUCAAGUUCUAUCAUGCUGCCCUUUCUAUCGGAUAGAAACUCCCUUUCCAAAAAGGUGGCAUUUCUCGAAACAAACGUCUUUGCUUCUUUGACAUAGUAGAACUCGUAUCCCAUUGAGUCUUCGGGAUACCCCACAAAAUAGCAUAAGUCGGAUUUACUAUCCAACUUAUCUCCCAUUAAUCGCUUCACAUAAGCGGGACAACCCCAUAUCCUAAUAUGUUUGUAAUUGGGUUUCCGGGAAUGCCAAAGUUCAUACGGUGUGGAUUUAACUGCUUUGGUGUUAACUCUAUUCAGCAAAUACGCGGCAGUACGAAGUGCAUGACCCCAUAAGUAUGCCGGUAAGUUUGUGAACCCCAUCAUUGAUCGAACCAUAUCUAAUAGAGUUCGAUUCCGACGUUCGGAUACUCCAUUAAGUUGAGGAGUUCCCGGUGGAGUCCAUUGGGAUUGUAUCCCAUUCUCUUUUAGAUAGUCAAUGAACUCGAUGCUCAAGUAUUCCCCACCACGAUCGGAUCGCAGCUUCUUAAUACUUCGUCCGAGUUGCUUUUCUACUUCGUGUCUAAAAUCUUUGAACCUUUCAAAUGUUUCAGACUUGUACUUCAUCAAGUAUACAUACCCAUACCUAGAAUAAUCAUCGGUAAAGGUAGCGAAGUAGUUAUAUCCACCCUUCGCACUAACACUUAGUGGACCACAUACGUCUGUAUGGAUCAAAUCCAAAAGACCCUCGGCUCGUUCCAUUUUCCCUUUGUAGGGUGACUUGGUCAUUUUCCCUUUAAGGCAAGAUUCACAAGUUUGUAGUGAUUUCACGUCCUCCAAAGAGAACAAUCCUUCACUAACAAAAUCGUUCAUCCUUCUUAAAGAGACAUGACCUAAUCUAGCGUGCCAAAGUUGUGCGGGGUUUUGAUCUAUCUCCUUACGUUUUGCUGAUAUAACAUUAAUAGGUAUUUCACUUGGAUUUAGUUCAUACAAGUUGUUUAAUAGUCGUCCUUUGCAAAUUAAAUUCUCAUUCUUUUGUAUAAUGCAAAUCGAAUUUCCAAAAACAAAAGUAAAACCUUCAAUAUCUAAUACAGGAAUAGAAAUAAGGUUUCUAAUGAGCGACGGAACAAAUAAACAAUCGUUCAAAACAAUAGGAAAACUAGAAUCCAAAACAUUUAAGUAAAUAGUGCCAAUGGCUUCAGCAGCAACUCUUGCUCCAUUCCCCAUCCUUAGGUAGGUCUCACCCGCUCUAAGUCUUCGACUUCUUGUCAUUAGCUGCAAAUCAUUGCACAAAUGUGAGCCACAGCCCGUAUCCAAUACCCAAGAAGAAGAGUUGACAGGCAAAUUUACGUCAAUGAAAUACGUACCCUUUUCAGAACCUUUCUGCUUUAGGUAAGCCUUGCAGUUGCGGCGCCAAUGUCCUUUCUUUCCACAGUGAUGGCAAGCAUCAUCAACUUGUUUGCUAACCUUUGCUUUGGGGCCCCCACUACCUUCACCCACUUCGAACUUGCUGUUAGGGAAAAGAACUCUUUCCUUUCUCUUCUUUUGGAAAGAACUCUUCUUUCCAGAAGUAGCAGCAACGAGAACAGACUUCUCUUUCUUAAUGGUGGACUCGAAGCUGACCAACAUGUUCAUUAACUCAUCCAAGGGAGGAUCUAGUUUGUUCAUGUUGAAGUUCACUAUGAACGAUUCAUAGGAACUAGGAAGAGACAACAGGAUCAAAUCCAACGAGAGCUCGGCCGGGAGGGUGACAUCAAGAUUCACUAGCUUUUCAAGGAGGGUGAUCAUUUUGAGACAGUGCUCGUGGACCGAAACCCCUUCGCGCAAUCUCGCUGUGAUCAACUCCUUUGUAGCAGCGUAUCUCGAUGCCCUAAUAUUCUCACUAUACAUGCUAUCGAGAUGAGCCUUUAUAUCGAAAGCAUGCAAGUGAGACUCAUAUUUCCUCGCUAGCGCGGGCUCCAUGGCGGCUAUCAUAUAGCACCUAGCAUGGGUGUCAUCUUACUUCCAAACUUCAUAAGUUUCCUUUUCAGCAUCAGUCGCUGUGGCAGGUAUAGUGGCGGGAAGCCUCUCGUUCAAAACGUAGAGACGCCCCUCAACAGUUAGCACAAGCUUAAGACUACGCAACCAAUCUAGGUAAUUAGGGCCAUUGAGUUUUUUGUCGAGGAUUGACAUUAUGGGAUUCUUAGACAUGAUUUUCUGAGACAUAUAGAGAAGAGGAUUAUUAGAGAUUCACGUUAAAUGAUUGUUACAAUUAAAUGUUUGGACUUAUGUUAUUUAAUUGUUCUCCCACUAAUUUUAUCGAGUUCCACUUCCCUCUAGUAGACAAACGAGAAAACUGAUUUUUCUUAAUGGGCUUUAGGUCCAAUAGACAAAUAUAACCCGUAGUUAAUCUAGCCCGAUUAUAUUUGCCCAAAGGUAGAUCACAAUCAAUCAUAUCCACAAUAUGACCCUAAAUUAAUUUUCCUCACACUUGAUAAUGACCUAAGUUAAUCUCGCGAAUAUCAAAAUCGUCGUGUGUCAAGUCUAACCUACCAAUCAAAGAUGCUCAUAGAACUUGAUUAUGCCAAACUAAUGCAGUCCCUAGUUAAUCUAGCCGACCACGUUAAUCCAACAUAACCCUUUUCUAUGGCUACCUUCAUCAAUAUGUCAAUUGAAUUACAGCUUACUCUACCAUAGCACUCCCCGCUAACACGGCUUACUGCACUACAGCAAAGGGCUACACAUAAUCCAACCGUUGGCAGAAGGAAAGAAAUAACUCAACAGAUUGGGUUAUUCUUUAUAGCUUGAAAUGAUUCUCAAUUAGAUUAAGAAUGAGGGGUUUUAUUAAAAGUUUUAUCUCAUCAGAAGGUUCGGAUUGGUCUAUGUGAUUCCUACAUCUAUGUUCUCUAAAGGUAUAUGGAAACGCAUAUUGUCCUAAGAGAAACAUACGACCUAAUUACAUAAUUAAUUACAUUAAUUAAUUAUCGGGUUUUUCAAAAUAAUUAUAGAACCUCAACUAGCAUAAAUCAUUCAUAUAAUGUUGAGGUACUACUAAUUAAGUUGAACUUAUAAUCAAUAUUAUAUAUGUGUUCUAUUAAUUGAAAUUAAUUUAACAAUUUAAAUCAAUUUAAUUAAUCUAACACCUAUUUACUAAAAUAGAUGAUUGUUGAUCCAAUUAUCUAAUUGGGAUUAAUUGAAAAUAAUUUUCCAAAAAUUAAAAUCAAUUUGUUUUAAGUUUAAUUUAAGAAAUCUGAAAUAAAUUUUUUUUUUUUUUUUUUAUUUUCAGUGAACCGGUUCGGCCCAACCGGUCUGACUGGUUCGGACCGAAGCGGUCCGGUUCUGUCCGGUCCAGCUGACCCAAAUCAGUGGGCCGGGUCAGUCGGACCGAGAACCGGUCUGACCGACCCGAAUCCACUUGGAUUCGGUCAACUAAAUCGCACACAACCAUCGAACCGGCCGGUCCGACCGGUUCGAUCCGAACAAUUAAAAACCGACUUUUUUAAAACAAUUUCAGAUCCGAUUUUCCAAUUUUAAACAAUUUUAAAGCUGGAAAAAUUCUAAACAAUAUUUCAAAAAUAUUUUAAACUUACGAAAACUCCCAAUUACAUAAUACAACAAUCACUACUUUAAUAAAUCGAACAUGCAUAAAAUCAUAGCAUAUUAAAACGAACGCAAUUAAUUACGCAACCUGGCUCUGAUACCACUGUUGGGUUUCGGGCACGCAUACGCAGCGGAAAACAAAAAUUUAUGCGAUUUAAACGACUUUAAAAACACAUAAGAACAUGCCCGAUAAAUUAAAUUCAAUUAAUUGCGUACCUUUGCGCUUCCAGCGAAAUUAAAACAACAUACAUGCUAAUAAAUUUAACCGAAUUUAAAUCAAUUAACAUGCUCGCGUUUUAAACCAAAUAACAUGCUCGUAACGAUUUAAUCGAUUACACAUAAUCACAUAAAAUCAUACAAACACAAGCAUGAAAUCAUAGUUUAAACUAAACCCUAAACGAAACUAGGGUUUCGUAUAUUUACCUCUUGACGCGUGAGGUAUGAGCGAUUAGCACUUCGUGAUUACUACGGAAACCAAUCCGUAGAAUCGGGGCAGCAGCGGUGCGUGGGCAGCAGCGGCGCGUGAGGUCACGGCGGCGCGUGUGGUGUACGCGCGGCUUCGGGGCGGCGCGUGGGGCAGCGUGCGGCUUCGGCUCGUGCGUUGCUCCUCGAUUCUUCGAUCUACAGUCUUCCUCCUCUCGGAUUUCACCUCGUAUACUUCGAUCUACUAAAUCGUGGCACUAGACACGAAGUAGUUAGAAUAAAACGGAAAGAAAAUAAAAGGAGAAAGAAUACCGAACAAGAACCGCCGACGAACGGCCGGUUCCGGCGACGGAGCGGCGACGGUGGUGCGGUGGUGGCCGCGCGGGAGAGGGGGCGAGAGAGAGAGGGUCGGCCGCUUAGGGUUAGGGUUUGUGUUGUUUGUGCAAGGGCUAUAAAUCAUGUAUUUAUAGUCCAUUGUAUAAAACCCUAGCGGGCUUAAGUUGGACUGGGCCCAACUGCUUAAGCUCGUUAGUUUCUUUACUCGCUCGUAUCUCUCAAUUCAAUGAUCGAAAAAUUGUAACGAUUACAUUUUAGAGUCAUUAUAAUUUCCUCGUCAUUACGAGUGCCAUCUCUUAUUUUCCAACUUUCCAAAAGUGGAAACCCUAAUUCAGUGCACUUUCUAAAUUUGGAAACUUCCCGAUUUAGAAAGUCCACUAAGAUGUUCGCCUAUUCUUUUCCUUUUCUUAUUCUCAUUCAUAAUUCCAAAUUACGAAUGUUGGACUCAAUCAUAUUGACUUCCAAUCAUGCAAAGAUAAACUAUUUUAUCUCUGACCGUUUAUUCAAAGAUCUCAUGUGCACGAGCAGUGUGACCCUCGAUGGUUCAGGUGUAAGCUAGCCGUGGGCCCACAACCCUUUGUGGUCAAAACUCGUCCCCUUCGAGUUACGAUUAAGAUGAAGCUCGUUUCACCUUAAUCACCCAACGAAUCAAGAUUGGCGUCUAGCAACUACGCGUCAUGAUUCCCUAGAUACAAAUGAAGUGCCUGCAAGAACCUUCAGAUAUAGUUAACGUACAGUACGGUCCCUUCGAUACAUAUGUCCCGAUCGAACUAGAGGCAUUGGUUCAUCGAGACCUCUCUAUAUGUUCGAUGACGGUGCGAUCGUUCUAAGUGUUGUAAUCCUUACGUGCAUGACUUAGAGAAUCAAAUUCUCUAAUCAUCACUUAGUCAGCUCUGGCCAGAGACUUAGAAUGAUUACAAACUUUCAGAACACACAGGACAUCCAAGACUAUUCUAGCGAUCGAAUCCCCGACUACAAUGCACAGACCUCCCACUAGAUUUCGGACUGCACGAACACUGGCCCUUGGGAUGGUCCUCGGUGGAACUCAGGGACAGGUCACGAUACAGCUGGUCCUCUAGUGAAGUCACGGUGAUGUCUAGGUCAUAAGGACUAAUGGUGUACAACUAUACCAUAGAUAUCUCUACUCGAUUAUUGGGAACCACUUAGAGAUUUCUAGGGUGAGGGAGUUCAGUGAACUCGUCAACUUACGAGCACCCACUUGUGCAUGCCGAUAUCACAAUACCGUUUACUGAUGAGAUGCAGUACACAUACACUAAGUGCUAGUCUUAAUGGGAAAGGCCGAUAUCCUCAUUAGUGGCGUAACCCUUCGACUAGGAACACGUUUAACAGUUAUAAUACUUAAGUAAAUAUCUCACGAUCCUAACGAUCAAAUUACUAGUACUUGUAAUAACUGUAAGGACUAUAUCUAUGCUUGUGACAAAGGGACAAAGAUAUAGAAUGCCAAUGUGUUUUAUCAUUAAUACGAAUAAAGGUUCGUUUAUUACAAUAACAAAUACGAAAGACCACAGCCACAAGUUGGCUUGUUGGUCACCUACUCUAACAAUAAAUAGGAUUUAUAUGUCUUGUAAAAGACACACACAAAAAAAACAAGGAAACGUAAGAAUGAAAACCUAGCCUCUCUCCCUCCAUCAGCAGUCCAUGUUGCAGCCAAAACCCUACCUCCACCACCAGCCACCGCACCGCCGCCAGUCGCCGCCGCAUCGGCAUCUUCCUUUUCCCCUCGUUCUUCUUUGUUGUACUUAGCCUAUCACGUAUCUAGUGCUGCGUGGAUAGUGGAUUGAAUAUACGAGGUAAAACCUAAGAGGAGGAAGAUUCUUCUGCCACCAACGCCGCCACCA
rnacentral:lncRNA from 1 species